rnacentral:tRNA from 1 species
GCCGAAGUGGUGGAAUUUGGUAGACACGCUAUCUUGAGGGGGUAGUGGGCACCGCCCGUCCGGGUUCAAAUCCCGGCUUCGGCACCA